rnacentral:misc_RNA from 1 species
CCAACUUCACGUCACUUCGGUCUCUUGUUGCCAUCCCGAGAAAAAUAACUACUCUAUUUUAAAUAUUGGCAAAAAAUCCUAACUGAAAGUGAAAAACGUUAAAGUGCCUCGAAACACCAUUUUCUUCACGUUCUUGGUCAACAGUUUCACCCAAAAAAAAUUUAAGAAACCGCCAGGAUGGCCGAUUUUAUCGAAUCAGAAGCGGAGGAGAGUAGUGAGGAGGAAGAGUUGGAGCCCCAUGAACGGAAAAAGCUAAAAAAAGUCAAAGCCAUGGACGACAGUUCAGAGGAGGAGGAAGAUGACGAAGACAGACUGAGGGAAGAACUUAAGGACUUGAUAGAUGACAAUCCAAUAGAAGACGAAAGUGACGGUGACUCAGAUGCAUCGGGCAGAGAAAAAAGAAAAAAAUCUGACGAUGAAGAUCUCGAUGACCGGCUCGAGGAUGAAGACUAUGAUUUGCUCGAAGAGAAUUUGGGCGUUAAAGUGGAAAGAAGGAAAUUCAAGCGAUUGAAAAGGAUCCAAGAGGAAGAGAGCGAGGGAGAAGACGAACACGAUGCCGAGCAAGAGAGGGAACAGAUCGCCAAUGAUCUUUUUUCAGAAGACGACGACGAACGUCACUCGGAGAGGUCCCAUAGGCCGGCCCCGGAACCCGAACAUUUUGGCGAGGAGGAAGAGGAGGGCGAUUAUUCCGAUGCGGACGACUUUAUCGUGGACGAUGACGGGAAACCGAUCGCCAAAAAGAAGAAGAGGCCGAUAUUCACGGAUGCGGCCCUGCAGGAGGCUCAGGAGACUUUUGGGGUCGAUUUUGACUAUGACGAGUUCUCCAAAUAUGACGAUGAAUAUGAUGAGGACGAGGAGGAUGAAGAAGAUGAAUAUGAGGAGGAUGAAGAGGGUGAGAGGAGACGUCGUCAAAAGAAGGCCGCAAAGAAGAGGCCCACCAAAAAAUCCAUUUUUGAAAUUUACGAACCUUCCGAGCUUAAAAGGGGCUUUUUUACUGACUUGGACAACGAAAUUCGAAGUACAGACGUGCCGGAGAGGAUGCAAUUACGCGACGUACCGUUAACUUCGGUACCGGACGAUUCCACCGAGUUGGACGACGAAGCGGAGUGGAUCUAUAAACAGGCGUUUUGCAAAAACACCGUGUCAAACAUGGAUGCCAAUCUUACACAGGAAGCCCGAGAAAAGCAGCGUAAAGGCCCACAAACGAUCGGCAAAAUCCGUAAAGCGUUGGACUUUAUGCGCAAUCAACAGUUGGAGGUUCCUUUCAUAGCGUUUUAUAGGAAAGAAUAUGUACAGCCCGAACUGAACAUCAACGAUCUUUGGAAGGUUUAUAAGUACGACGCCAAAUGGUGCCAAUUGAAGUCGAGAAAGGAGAAUUUACUGAACUUAUUCGAGAAAAUGAGAUCUUAUCAGAUGGAUCAGGUUAUGAAGGAUCCCGAUGCUCCUCUGCCUGAUAAUGUUAGGAUAAUGAAGGACAGUGACAUAGACCGACUGAAAAACGUCCAAACCGCCGAGGAACUGAACGACGUGCAUAACCAUUUUAUUCUAUACUACGCGCACGAUUUACCCGCGAUGCACGCGGCCUGGAGAAUCAAGGAGAAAGAAAGGAAAAAGCAACUGAAACGCGAGGCCCGCUUAAAAGCGUUAGCAGAAGCCGAAGAGGGGGCCGAAGUACCCGAAGAAACCCCCGAGGACGAGGAGGAAGACGACAUGGAGCCCGAUACGAUCAAAUACGCCAACAGGUCGGGGUCGUACUCGCUGUGCAGCAGGGCGGGACUUGAUUCCCUAGCCAAGCGUUUCGGUUUAACUCCGGAACGUUUCGCGGAAAACUUACGGGACAACUAUCAGAAACACGAAGUGGACCAGGAACUGACCGAACCGGUUGAGGUGGCCAAACAAUACGUUUGCCCCAAGUUUUCUACUGCGGAUGAAGUUUUACAGGCAGCCAAGUACAUGGUGGCCCUCCAAAUAGCCCGAGAACCGUUAAUCCGUAAGUGCGUGAGGGAAGUGUACUACGAACGCGCCCGCCUCAGUGUAACCCCGACGAAAAAGGGCCAAAAGGUGAUCGACGAGGCGCACAACUGUUACUCGAUGAAAUAUUUGAAAAACAAACCGGUCAGGGACCUCACUGGGGAUCAAUUCUUGAAGUUGACCUUAGCCGAGGAGGAGCAGCUGAUUAAACUGAAAUUCAGCGACAAUAUCGACGGGCACACCUCGAACUCGUACAUAGACGAGGUGAAACAACUUUACAUCCGGGACGAGUUCAGUAAAAACGUGCAAGAAUGGAACAAAUUGAGGGCGGAAUGCGUCGAGAGGGCGUUAACCCGUUGCGUUAUCCCCGAUUUACAGGCGGAAAUCAAGAGGGUUUUACUGGCCGAGGCCAAGGAGUUCGUUUUGCGGGCCUGCUGCCGGAAAUUGUAUAAUUGGAUCAAGAUCGCGCCCUAUCAGGUGGAGAUCGCCGAGGAGGACGAGGAGGAGUGGGACGCCAGCAAGGGUAUCAGAGUCAUGGGUCUGGCCUACGUCCCCGACUAUUCCCAGUCCGCCUUUUGCUGUAUAGCGGCCGCAGACGGCGACGUGACCGACUAUCUCCGUCUCCCUCACAUCUUAAAACGGAAAAACAGCUGGCGCCAAGAAGAGAAAAUGCUAAAAGAGGCGGACCUGACCGCCCUGAGGAACUUCAUUUACACGAAACGGCCGCACGUGAUCGCCAUCGGGGGCGAAUCCCGGGAGGCCCUGAUGAUCGCCGACGACCUGCGCGGCAUCGUCAACGAACUGGUCGAGUCCGAACAGUUUCCCGCCAUAAAAGUCGAAAUUAUCGAUAAUCAACUGGCGAAGAUUUACGCGAACUCGAAUAAAGGCGUGGCGGAUUUCCGGGAUUAUCCGGAACUUUUAAGGCAGGCCAUUUCAUUGGCGAGAAAGAUGCAAGAUCCCCUAAUCGAGUACUCGCAGUUGUGCAACGGAGACGAGGAGAUAUUGAGUCUGCGAUACCAUCCGUUGCAAGAGCAGAUAAGCAAGGAGGAACUGCUGGAAGCCCUUUGUUUGGAGUUCGUGAAUCGAACCAACGAGGUGGGCGUCGACGUCAAUUUGGCGGUACAACAGGCGCACAAAAGUCACUUGAUUCAAUUCAUAUGCGGCCUGGGGCCCCGGAAGGGACAGGCGCUCCUCAAGGUACUCAAGCAGACCAAUCAGCGUUUGGAAAAUCGGACGCAAUUGGUCACGUCGUGCCAUAUGGGCCCCAAAGUAUUUAUCAACUGUUCCGGGUUUAUUAAGAUCGACACGAACAGUUUGGGCGACAGCACGGAGGCUUAUGUGGAAAUCUUGGACGGGUCCAGGGUGCAUCCGGAAACGUACGAGUGGGCGCGGAAAAUGGCGGUGGACGCCCUGGAGUACGAGGACGAGGGCGCGAAUCCCGCGGGUGCCCUCGAGGAAAUCCUGGACGCCCCCGAGAGGCUGAAAGAUCUUGAUUUGGACGCUUUUGCCGUCGAAUUAGAGAGGCAACAUUUCGGUAACAAAAGUAUAACCCUAUACGACAUCCGUGCGGAACUAAACUGCCGCUACAAAGACUUAAGGGUACCGUACAAAUCGGCUAAUCCGGAGGAACUGUUCGAUAUGCUCACGAAAGAAUCCCCGGAAACGUUUUACAUCGGGAAACUGGUGCAGGCGACGGUGAUCGGUAUCGCCCGAAGGAAACCGCAGGGGGAACAACUGGACUCGGCCAAUCCGGUGCGUAACGACGAAACCGGCCUGUGGCAGUGUCCGUUCUGUCUGAAAAACGAUUUUCCCGAAUUGUCCGACGUGUGGAACCACUUUGACGCGGGCGCGUGUCCCGGACAAGCGACCGGGGUCAAACUGCGACUGGACAACGGAAUUUCCGGGUACAUUUACAUUAAGAAUUUGAGCGAUAAACCGGUGUCCAAUCCCGAGGAAAGAGUGGGUAUCGGACAGCUGAUACAUUGUCGGAUAAUGAAGAUCGACGUCGAGAGGUUUUCGGUCGAUUGUACGUCAAAGUCGAGCGAUUUGGUUGAUAAGAAGGGCGAGUGGAGGCCACCGAGGGAUCCGUAUUACGAUCGGGAGCAAGAGGAUAAGGAUACAAGAGCCGAAGCGGAAAAAAAGAAAGACAAACAGCGACAAACGUACAUAAAACGCGUCAUCGUUCAUCCGGCCUUCCAUAAUAUUUCUUAUGCGGAAGCGGAGAAACUGAUGGCCAACAUGGACCAAGGAGAAGUAAUAAUAAGACCCUCCAGUAAAGGGGUGGACCAUCUGACCAUCACUUGGAAAGUAGCGGACAACAUCUUCCAGCACAUCGACAUCCGGGAAGAAGGUAAAACCAACGCGUUCUCUUUGGGGAAAUCUUUGUGGAUUGGCAACGAGGAAUUCGAGGAUCUGGAUGAAAUUAUCGCGAGGCACGUUAAUCCUAUGGCCUCGUACGCCAGGGAUUUGUUAUAUUUCCGAUACUACAAAGAUACCGGCGGAGGCCUCAAAGACAAAGCCGAGGAAUUCAUCAAAGAGGAAAAAAAGAAAAACCCCUCCAAGAUCCACUAUAUCGUGAGCGCGGCCAAGUCGCUGCCCGGCAAGUUCCUUCUCUCUUAUUUGCCGCGGAACAAAGUGAGACACGAGUACAUCACCGUCACCCCGGAAGGGUUUCGGUUUAGGCAGCAGAUGUUCGACUCGGUUACGUCGGUGUUCAAGUGGUUCAAGGAACAUUUUAGGGACCCGAUACCGGGCGGUACCCCCAGUACGCCCAGGAUGGGCGGCACUACUAGAGGAACACCUUAUCAAGGCACGGCAAAUACGCCGUUUAACAGCAUGAACCCCGAAACGAUCCAAAGGGUGGCCCAAAACCUGCCCAGUCACAUGUUACAAAGUCUCUCCGCGGUGGCGAAUCAAACGCCUCACUACCCUCACACCCCCGGCGGCGGUUACGGUGGGAAUUACAUCAACACCCCGUAUACGCCCAGCGGCCAGACGCCUUUUAUGACCCCCUAUCAGACUCCGCAUUCUCAACAAACUCCCAGGUAUGGACAAUCGACUCCGUCUCCUUUACCGAUGCUACCUCCCAGAUCGACGCCGGUACCUUACUCCAGGGGCGGCGGCGGGCCGCCCAACUACCCGCCCAAUAAUACGGAACAGACCGAUUGGGAAAAGGCGGCGGCCGCAUGGGCGGCCAGAAGUAGCAGAAGCUCGUCAAAUACUCCGAGAAGCGACAUGGGCCGUAAUACGCCCCGCGGUUCAAUCGGGGGGCAACGGACGCCCCGCUUCGACGACGUCCACGCGGACCUGGAGCGCACCAAAAUGAAAAACGUCGGCAAGAGUCCGAGAUCGAUGCGAUCGACCCCGCGCACCAACAUGUCGCCCCACAGCAUGUCCUUGGGCAACGCCACGCCCCUCUACGACGAAAAUAUUUAAGAAAUCGCUGUGUUUUUGGCCUUGUAAAUAUAUGCGGAAAGAGGAGGGAGUACACACGUUUUCGCCAAAUUAUUUAUUAUAAUUUUAUAUAUACUUUAUUGGUUGGUUUUUUCAUCUGAUGCUGCUCCCAAGACUAGAUAGGUAUUGCACUAUUAGUUUUAUGUUUAUAAAUAAAGUUAAUCUUUUUUUAAGGAUAAA